rnacentral:rRNA from 1 species
UGGACAGUACUGACGCUGAGAUGCGAAAGCGUGGGGAGCAAACAGGAUUAGAUACCUGGUAGUCCACGCUGUAAACGAUGUCGAUUUGGAGUUUGUUGCCUAGAGUGAUGGGCUCCGAAGCUAACGCGAUAAAUCGACCGCUGGGGAGUACGGCCGCAAGGUUAAAACUCAAAUGAAUUGACGGGGGCCCGCACAAGCGGUGGAGCAUGUGGUUUAAUUCGAUGCAACGCGAAGAACCUUACCUGGUCUUGACAUCCAUAGAAUUCUGCAGAGAUGUGGGAGUGCCUUCGGGAACUAUGAGACAGGUGCUGCAUGGCUGUCGUCAGCUCGUGUUGUGAAAUGUUGGGUUAAGUCCCGCAGCGAGCGCAACCCUUAUUCUUUGUUGCCAGCGAUUUGGUCGGGAACUCAAAGGAGACUGCCGUUGAUAAAGCGGAGGAAGGUGGGGACGACGUCAAGUCAUCAUGGCCCUUACGACCAGGGCUACACACGUGCUACAAUGGGGUAUACAAAGGGAAGCGAAGGUGCGAGCUGGAGCGGAUCUCAUAAAGUACGUCUAAGUUCGGAUUGGAGUCUGCAACUCGACUCCAUGAAGUCGGAAUCGCUAGUAAUCGUAGAUCAGAAUGCUACGGUGAAUACGUUCCCGGGCCUUGUACACACCGCCCGUCACACCAUGGGAGUGGGUUGCACCAGAAGUAGAUAGCUUAACCGCGAGGGGGGCGUUUACCACGGUGUGAUUCAUGACUGGGGUGAAGUCGUAACAAGGUAACCA